UACGGGGGGGGCAAGCGUUGUUCGGAAUUACUGGGCGUAAAGGGCUCGUAGGCGGCCAACUAAGUCAGACGUGAAAUCCCUCGGCUUAACCGGGGAACUGCGUCUGAUACUGGAUGGCUUGAGUUCGGGAGAGGGAUGCGGAAUUCCAGGUGUAGCGGUGAAAUGCGUAGAGAUCGGGAGGAACACCCGUGGCGAAGGCGGCUUCCUGGUCCAGCACCGACGUUCAGGCACGAAAGCGUGGGGAGCAAACAGG
rnacentral:rRNA from 1 species